rnacentral:rRNA from 1 species
UACGGGGGGGGCAAGCGUUGUUCGGAAUUACUGGGCGUAAAGGGCUCGUAGGCGGCCAACUAAGUCAGACGUGAAAUCCCUCGGCUUAACCGGGGAACUGCAUCUGAUACUGGAUGGCUUGAGAUUGGGAGAGGGAUGCGGAAUUCCAGGUGUAGCGGUGAAAUGCGUAGAUAUCCGGAGGAACACCGGUGGCGAAGGCGGCUUCCUGGACCGGCAUUGACGCUGAGGCGCGAAAGCUAGGGGAGCAAACGGG